CUCCAGACUCCUACGGGAGGCAGCAGUGGGGGAUAUUGCACAAUGGGGGGAACCCUGAUGCAGCGACGCCGCGUGGGUGAAGAAGCGCCUCGGCGCGUAAAGCCCUGUCAGCAGGGAAGAAAAUGACGGUACCUGAAGAAGAAGCCCCGGCUAACUACGUGCCAGCAGCCGCGGUAAUACGUAGGGGGCAAGCGUUAUCCGGAUUUACUGGGUGUAAAGGGAGCGUAGACGGCUGUGCAAGUCUGAAGUGAAAGCCCAGGGCUCAACCCUGGGACUGCUUUGGAAACUGUGGAGCUAGAGUGCUGGAGAGGUAAGUGGAAUUCCUAGUGUAGCGGUGAAAUGCGUAGACAUCAGGAGGAACACCGGCGGCGAAGGCGGCCUGCUGGACCGCGACUGACGUUGAGGCUCGAAAGCGUGGGGAGCGAACAGGAUUAGAUACCCGUGUA
rnacentral:rRNA from 1 species